UGUUAUAUAGAUCGACAGGUUUACAAGAUAUGGUAGUUCGGUUGGUGUUGGAUUGAUCCUCAAGAAAGCUAUGCAGAGAUGAGGAUGAAUCCUAACAACAGCAACUACCUUAUUACAAUGACCCACGCAACACAUAAUCCUACCAGACGUAUAUACGGUUUAUAUUCAUACCGUCUAUAUAUGUACAAUACUUUCUAACACGCCCCCUCAAUCACAACUUCACCAAGUUGAGAUUGCUCUUAAAGUCUUCCAAUUUCCGCCAUGAUAAGGCCUUGGUAAAACCAUCAGCAACUUGAUCACCUGUGGGUAUAAAACGAAUAUCUAGUAGCUUGUUAGCUACUCUUUCUCGAACAAAUGAUAGUCAACUUUUAUAUGUUUAGUUCGUGCAUGGAACACUGGAUUUGCUGACAGGUAUGUGGCACCAAUGUUGUCACACCAAAGACGAGCAACUGGUGAAUGAGCAACUCCAAGUUCACGCCGAAGAGUUUGGACCCAAAUAAUCUCAGCAGUUGCAUUAGCUAAGGAUUUAUACUCUGCCUCAGUACUUGAUCUUGAAACAGUAGCCUGCUUACGUGCACUCCAAGAAAUCAAGUUGGGACCAAAAAACACAUAGAAACCUCCUGUUGAUCUUCUGUCAUCAGGACAUCCUGCCCAAUCAGCAUCCGAGAAAGCACUAACAAUAUUGCAAGUUGACUUGGUGAAUUUUAGCCUGUACUCAUAGUACCUUUAAGAUAUCUCAAAAUCCUUUUAACUGAUGUCCUGUGUUGAGAGGUCGGAGAGUGCAAAUACUGACAAACUUUGUUUAUCGGGAAACAAAUAUCAGGUCUUGUCAAUGUCAAAUAUUGCAAAGCACCUACCAUACUUCUAUACCUUGUUGACUCUUCGGCCCCCAAAGGCUCUUGACAGCUUUUCAGAUGUUGAGAGAGGCAUGUUUUAAACCUUGCGACUUAUCAUACCUGCAUGUUUCAAUAUAUCCAUGACAUAUUUUUCUUGGGUCAGUAGAAUGCCAUCUUUCACCUUCUUUACUUCAAUUCCCAAGAAAUAAUGUAGAUCUCCUAAAUCCUUUAAGGCAAAAUCUCUCCUCAAAUCUGCCAACAAUGUUACAGUUGCAUCUUGUGAUGAGCUAGCAACAAUAAUAUCAUCAACAUAGACCAACAUAAAAAUAAUAAUCUUUCCUCUUCUAUAAAAGAACAAGGAAGUAUCCCCCCUUGAUGGUUUAAAACCAAGUGCUUGAAGUUUGUCACAUAACCUGGAGUACCAUGCUCGAGGUGCCUAUUUUAGACCAUACAAAGCUUUGUCAAGUUUGCAGAGAUGAUUUUCCUUGCCUUUUAUCUCAUAGCUAGGUGGUUGUCUCAUAUAGACUUCUUCCUCUAGAACACCAUGAAGGAGCGCAUUCUGAACAUCCAAUUGCCUAAGACUCCAGUUACUGGAUACUGCAACAGAAAGAACAAGUCUGAUAGUAGCUGCUUUAACAAUAGGACUAAAGGUAUCCUCAUAGUCUAUACCAUAUCUCUGUUUAAAACCCUUUGCUACUAGCCUUGCUUGUAUCUAUCAAUUUGACCAUCUGCCUUUCUUUUAAUCCUAUAGACCCACCUACAAUCAAUAAUGUUUUUAUUUUUUGUUGGUGGAACUAAAUGCCAAGUCUUAUUUUUAAUAAGAGCAUCAUACUCAUCAUUCAUAGCCAUUUUCCAUUUUUUUUGUCACUUAGAGCUUCUUGCAAAUUACUUGGCUCACCAGUGGUUGUCAGACCUCCAAAACGAGGUUUUAACUUGUCAUACCUGACCGUACCGUCUGUACGUAUCUGAGGUUUCACAAUACCAUGUUGUGAUCUUGUUACUCGAGUUGGCACACCAGGUGCUACUGCAGGAUGCGGUACAGAAGAUCUCAUAGGGGAGGAGGCAGCCGCACAGGAUCCCGUGUCGGAUCCGUCAGUGGCAGAGGAUCUCGCGUCCUGUCGCUCCAGAACCGCGCCGGACGCGCCACACGCCGCUCCCGUAUGGGAUUCCUCCACGUGGCCGCCGGUGAGAGGGGGUCGCCGCUCGGAUUCAUGCGGCCCAUCCCGAGCCACGUGGUCACCAGAGGUUGGCCCGCCUGGGGAGACAGGAUCUCGCGGGCCAGCCCGCGACGCGCGGCGUUCGCUCGACGGAGUUUGUGAGCCCGAGGAGGAUUCGCCCCCUGAGCCGCCUGCGCCACCUGCGCCUGCUGCUGCCUUGGGAUCAGUUGCCGCAGCACCUGAAUCAACCUCGCGUUCAGCGCCAUGCUUGUCUUGUUAUGGCUGCAUAAAAUCAUGAAUAAUGGCUAGAUUUUCUUCAUGAUUAGCAACAGAAUUAGUAUGAAAAUUAGCCUGCUGAUCAACUACACAUUCGCCCUCGUGAUCAAUAGGCUCAGAGAGAGUUGUGUUAGGAAGCAAUAAGACCUCAGAGCGAAGGGGGGUGCCUGCAUUUGGAUUUAAGGAGGCAAAAGGAAAAACUGUUUCAUCAAAAGUAACAUCACGAGAUAUGUAAACUCGUCCAGCAGCAACAUCUAGGCACUUGAAACCUUUGUGAAGAUUGCUAUAUCCAAGGAACACGCACUGUUUAGAACGGAAUUCUAAUUUUUGGGAAUUGUAUGGACGAAGAUUAGGCCAACAAGCGCACCCAAAAACUCGAAGGGAAUGAUAAUUUGGUUGUUCUUGAAACAGACGAGUUAAUGCGGUUCAAAAUUAAUCACUUUGCUUGGGGUGCGGUUGAUCAAAUAUGUGGCUGAAAGAAAGGCUUCAUCCCAGAAUUUUAAGGGCAUAGAAGCAUGAGCUAAGAGGGAAAGGCCUACAUCAACAAUGUGUCGAUGUUUCCUCUCAGCAGAGCCAUUCUGCUGGUGAGCAUGGGGACAGGAGACAUGAUGGGUGAUUCCUACUUGACGAAAGAAGGAAUUAAGACGCUCAUACUCGCCACCCCAAUCUAUUUGCAUAGUGAUAAUUUUUCUAUUGAACAACCUUUCAACAAGAGUUUGAAACUCAUGAAAAAAUUUGAACACUUCAGAUCAGUGCUUAAGAAGAUAUAUCCAUGUGAAUUUACUGUAGUCAUCAAUGAAUGAAACAUAAUAGUUUUUCGUAUUGAUAGAAUCACGGGCAGGCCCCUAUACAUCAGAAUUUUUUUGCUCUAAAGGAGCUUUGGAUACACUGAUUGAACUAGGGUAAGGAAGUUGGUGAUUUUUGCCCAUUUGGCAUGCAUCACAAACACCUUCUUUAUUCAACUCACUACUUGAAAAGGGAAUAUUAUUUUGGCUAAGGACAUGACGAACUAUGGUGGAUGAAGGGUGUCCUAGCCGGCUAUGCCACCUUUCAGUGGACAUCUUAUUGACGCCAAAAACUUGCUUGCUUGAACUUAACGGACCCGAUGAAAGGGGGUAGAGACCACGUCUACAUCUGCCCCGGAGGAGGGUUUUCUUCGUUCCCUGUUCCUUAACGAAAAAGAAAUUUGGGUGAACUUCAAGAUAAGUAUGAUUGUCAGUGGACAAACGAUGAGCAGAGAUCAGAUUUUUGGUGGCAUCAGGUACAUGCAAGAUGUCUUUUAGAUGAAGAUCACGAGUGAGAGUACGAACAGUAGAUUGACAAAUAUGACUAAUUUCCAUAGCUUCUCCGUUUGCAGUGUGGACUUGUUCGUUGUCGUUGUACUUGUUGCGAACCGUCAGCUUGUCAAGUUCGCUAGUGAUGUGGUCAGUGGCUCCUGGAUCAAGGUACCAGUUUGUGUCCACCCCAUAGGACGAAGUGGUGGCUGACCCUGCGCUCUUGUCGUUCUUGGUGAAGGAGAUGUCGAAGCGACGGUAGCACUCGAGGGCGGAGUGGUUUGGCCUCUUGCAGAUCUGGCAGGCGGCCUCAGGAAGAUCAUCAACUCCUCCAUUGCCAUUGCCGCUGCCUCCAUUGCCACGGCCUCUGUUGCCGCGGCCUCCUCCUCCAUUGCCGUGACCACCAUUGCCGUGGCCACCUCCGCCUCGGCUGAAACCACCACGGCCACGGGAGACAGCAUUGGCCGAGGACUGGGAGGAGUGGUUGCCACCUUCGAACAUAGAAAGGCGUUUUUCAAAACCAAUCAACUGAGAGUAGAGUUCAGCUACCUUGAUUGGUUCGGUCCUCGCAGCACAGAUGGAAGAGACAAACGAGAUGUAGUCUUAGUCUAAUCCAGCAAGGAUGUAGGAGACCAUGUAAUCAUCGUCGAGUGGCUUUCCUGCUGAAGCCAUCUCGUCGCCCAGCGCCUUCAUGCGCCCGAUGUAGUCGGCGAUGGUCGCGGUGCCCUUUUUGGUGUUGGAGAGGGUGAUCCGCGUGUUGACGAUGUUGGCCUGCGUCUGGGAGAGGAACAUCUCCCUGGUGGUGGUCCAUGCCGCCGUGGCCUUGGUGCAGUGAGCGACCUAGAUCAUCACCGGUGCUGAGAUUGAGUUGAAGAUGAAGCUCAGCACCUGUGAGUCUUGCGCCAAGGCGAUGAGAUACGCCAGGUUCGGCACAUCAGUUGGCUUGCCAUCCUUAUCAGCAAGCUUGGGCUCCGGGAACGGGUGAUCGGGAUUGAGGUGAUCGAUCAGUUGCGCUCCGCGGAUGGUGGCUAGGGCUUGUGCGCGCCAUACUAGGUAGUUGCCUCGGUGAAGCUUGUCAGCGAUGGGAAUGAAGGGAAAAGCGGCGGCGGCGGAGCUGGAGCUAGCCAUAACUAGGGUUGGAUGUCAAAGAGGAACUAGGCUCUGAAUACCAUGAAAGAUUGGUUGAAGCGUAUGCCUCUGGCUGGGACGCGUUGCAUGUUAUAUAGAUCGACAGGUUUACAAGAUAUGGUAGUUCGGUUGGUGUUGGAUUGAUCCUGAAGAAAGCUAUACAGAGAUGAGGAUGAAUCCUAACAACCGCAACUACCUGAUUACAAUGACCCACGCAACACACAUAAUCCUACCAGACGUAUAUACGGUUUAUAUUCAUACCGUAUAUACAUGUACAAUACUUCCUAACAAGGAAUGGAGAGAAAACCCUUUUUUAUUUUCAAGAAGGAUGUCCAUAGCACCUCUCGGCCGAGCUCACACAAGUCGUCUGUUCAAACUGCCUGUGGAGAAGGAACAACCAUCUCAAGUUAAUUAGCAAACAAGAAAAAA
rnacentral:lncRNA from 1 species